rnacentral:rRNA from 1 species
GAUCAUCGCUCAGGAUGAACGCUGGCGGCGUGCUUAACACAUGCAAGUCGAGCGAAGCACUUUGGAAAGAUUCUUCGGAUGAUUUCCUUUGUGACUGAGCGGGCGGACGGGUGAGGUAACGCGUGGGUACCCUGCCUCAUACAGGGGGAUAACAGUUAGAAAUGACUGCUAAUACCGCAUAAGACCACGGUACCGCAUGGUACAGUGGUAAAAACUCCGGUGGUAUGAGAUGGACCCGCGU